GAGGGUGUAACUCAGUGGUAGAGUACAUGCUUAUUUAGCAUGCACAAGGUCCUGGGUUCAAUCCCCAGUACUUCCA
rnacentral:tRNA from 1 species